CCCACCUAAUAUAGCCUGUCCUUCACAGCCCCUCCCUAUAAAACAAGGGGGAUCUCUAUUUGUAAGAGCGCUUCUAGGAUCAGGCUGAAGAGUGCACAACGUAUUCUGCAGCGAGCAAGAGAGGGACAAAGAGAGGCACAGAGAGAGAGAGAGCACGACCACCUCCUUACAGAGCACUGUGCCCUUGGAUAUCUGCAAUUGUCUCUUUACCACCCCCAAUGCCUCAGUUUACAUUUGCUUGUUUCUGUGGUCUUCAUGGAUUCUGCAAAAUGAAACCGAAGAAAGAGGAGCAGCAGGCAGAGCAGGAGACAGCAGUAUGAGGGAAACACAUUUCUGCUAAGGAUAAAGCCAUCAUUACAGGGAUACUGGACCAUUAUCACCUUCACAAGUGAAGAAGCCUAAAAUGUGUUGCAGGCCACUGUUAUGCAGGCCUCUCCAGCAGUGGGUUUUAGGCAGUGGUCUGUUUUGGAAAGGUUUUGCAUAAAUAAGACAAUGAAAGCAAAGCUUUUCACUUAUAGGGUCGCUCCCAUAACUUAUUAUAUUUCCCUGUAUAGAACUUACAUAAAAUUGAGAUGGGAAUGCAUGAACUAAUUAGGCCAUAAAAUUAGUUUAGUUUAAUGCACUUGUUUUGUAAAACAAACUUAAUCACCACCCCAACAUGCAUAUUUUUAAGUUGCCACACUCUCAAAGCAAAUUAUUGCAUGAUACUAUACUGUUAUUUUUGUAGAAGGAACAAAUUACAAAAAGAAGUGAUCAUAUAGUGCAUAUUGGUAUGGGAUCUCUUACCUAGAAACCCAAUAUCCAAAAAGCUCUGCAUUAUAGGAAGGCCAUCUCCCAUUUAGUAUAUUUUAAGCAAAGAAAACAUUGUUUUCAUUUUUUACCUUUCCUUUGUAAUAAUGAACCUCAUCCUCAAUUCUAAAUAAGCUGCAUGGUUCUGGAUUGGAGCCAGAACCAUCCUUUUGGGUUUAUUUAAUGUUUAUUAAAUGUUUUUUUAGUCAGUCCAAAUUAAAAAUGACCCCUUAUGCAGAAAACCCCAUUUCCAAGUUUUCCAGAUAAACCCACACCUGUAUUACUUUCCUGUAAUAAUUACAGAAUGAUUUACACACACAUGUACACACAUCACAAAGUCAUCUGAACUGUGAUACAGUGUAUUAACUUUAAGUGUCCUUACAGUACUGAUCGCAGGGUUGUCAGACUUAAUGGUAUACACCAUAUAUAUGAAAAAGACAAUUUAAUGAGGGCUGGACCCCAGACAAAGAAGCAGUUUUUAGUUUUCUCCACAUUUGUGGUAAGGCCACAAAGGCCCAGGCCUAGGGCGGCACGACGCCCAGUUGCACUUCAACUUUGCUUACAUAUGGAAAACUGGGGACAGGAUGUGCCGAAAAUGUAAGUGCUCAGUGGUCUGUAUGUGAGUUAAAUGGAUGCGCAAGCUUGCAACCCUGGGCGGGGCGAGGGCGUAGUGGAGUGGGGAAUGGGGGCGGCAAAAUUGUAAAUCCGCCGUUGGUUUUCUUUACAAAUUAAUUUUCCAGAACAACUUCAGCUUCAUGUCCUUAAAUUCAAUACCCCAUAUCCAGAGCAUGUAAAAUAUGUGAGUAUAUGUCAAAAUGGUUAACAUGGAUAAUCAGUAUAUAGUAUAUAAUAUAACGCAUGACAGGCAGUGUGGAUAAAAAACUCUUCCUAAUCGCACUAAAGCAAGCCAUAAGCAAAGAGAUGAUAAAAUGAGCCAGUAGUAACCAUCUCUUCUGCUGGGAACCUGCAACUUUACCAGCAAGAAAUGAUGGCUUGUAGCAGCCCUGCGUGCAUUUGCCCACAAAUUUGAAAUUUCCAUAAGCUAUAAAUUAUCCCAAAGUAGUAAAAAAGGUGAUCAAUGUAUGGUUACUUAGCAUAUUUGCUAUGUACUGGUACAGAACAUAUAAGGGGACUUUGAAAAGCAGUUUUAAUAUACAUCUAUGAGAAAAUGUUUUGUUCCUACAGUUUAGGUGGGGCUUAUAUGAAUUUGCUGUGGGGAUCAGUAAAUUCGAGUAACUCAGGUUUUCAUUUGGAAUUUACACUGACAUUUUUAUUAAUGAAAUUCCUAAAUUCAGUCCAUUAAGAAUUAUAGUAAAAUAAAAUAAUGAACUGGACCAGGGUGUAUUUAUAUAUAUAGGCUCUUGUGGGUCUAUGCCUUAGAUGGCAACGUCAGUGUGAGCAGCCCACAGAUGCCUUUUUAAAAAAAUUAAAUUCUUACAAAAAAUAGAAUUUCCCCAACUACUGCAAGACACUUGGCUAAAUCUGACAGUGGAGUUUAGGGAGGUAUAAAAUCCUUUACAAUCGAACAAGCAAGUAAUUAUAGUUAAAAUAUUUCAACUUAAAAUAUUUCAACAACAUGGAUUUAAAUAUAACCAGAAUUUGUUGAUUUGUUGUUGGUAAACUAGUCUAUUUUUGUUCAAUUUCAGCUGCUAGGGUUCUUUCUAUUAAACAGGGAACUGGAAUUGACAAAGUUAAUCUUAGGAGUUUAUGGCUGCUUUUAAUGUUUUAUAAGCCCUGGAAAACAAUGUGCUUUUUUUUUUUUUUUUUUGCUUAUACCUGAACAUAUAUAUAAUUUGCAGUGAAUUCUGUCUGCAGGUUGAAUCCAAACAUUAUGGAUUCAGUGUAUUCCUUUUUGUGGGGGUUUAUGUGUUCUGGAAUUGUGUUCAGUAUACUUGAUGAUGCUCACAAAUUUAUAAGCACACAAAAAAAGUUGGAUGUAAUAGCCCACCAAAUACUCACUAAUCUGUAAACUUGUAAUUGCCUUUGAGUUUGGUUAAAAUAAACCUUAAGAAGCUUA